GCCAUCUUAGCUCAGUUGGUCAGAGCAGCUGAUUUGUAAUCAGCAGGUCCUCAGUUCGAAUCUGAGAGAUGGCU
rnacentral:tRNA from 1 species